AGUGUGUCUCUCAGCUCCUGCACCAAGGAGUGAUUUAGAUGCUCGUCCCAGAGGUUUCUGAAAAGUACUUGCCAGGAGUCCAGGAGGACGAUUGCAGCAGGAAACACACAACACUGCAGGAAGAAAAUCACAUUCAUGGAGCAGCUCAUUAGGAGGCCAGACCCGUUGAUGUGGUCGUCGGCACUGGACCGGAGCUCUGAACGACUUGUCAAGCAACAAGAGAAUUUGACUCACUUCAUCCACUCCUCCUUCAAACACAGCAGACAAUGGGACACCACCUCCACAGACAAAUUCUCAUUGGACAGUGCCACCUCCAGUUUGUUCAGUAAGUGAAGAAUAUCAAUGUUACUACUGAAUAAGGGCACAAGAUUAAAAGCAAGCCAACUAUAGCAUUAGAAUACAGAUGAAUGGAAAACUUGGAUGAACUCAAUAGCAAAAUUGUUUGACACUGUGAAUCAUUUUACAUGACAAUAAAAAGUUGAGCCAUCGCUUACCUUUAUCAGUGGGUUGCGUGCUCGCACUAGUGAUGGAAAACUGAUAAGCAGAAGAGAUUGCCUCUCCAUCUACAACAGAAUUCUGACUGCCUGGGUUGGAACUGACAUCCACCAACACUGAAAACUCUACAGGGCAAACAAAGAUUGUGAAAUUCAAUUGAAGAUAUAUAUAUGUUUAAAAAGACACUCAUUGUUCUACCUGAAGAGCUGACGUGACUUGGGAUGGAUACGUCUGGACUAAGACCCAGGAAGUUGCAUUUGUAGGCCUCCUCAUACUGAGAACUGUAUGGCACAGAUCGAACACAGCCAACAGGUAACAGGGACUGAUGGGAGAAAAACAGUGAAAGACAAUUACCAUAAAACAUUUCCACAUUUAAAACUGCCUCUGGUGGAAACAAACAGCCCCGCAGAAUGGUUACUUUGCUGCCUCUUGUGGUAGAGGAUGUCACUUCCAUGGUCAGGAAAGAUGCCAAACUAAAAUACCACACUCAUCACUUGUAUGCCACAUAUGAGUUGCGUAGGUGGAAACUGAUCCUGUUCGCUAGAGGUCUGCUAUGAAUGCAAUCAGCUUCAAAUGACUUGUUUUAAUGGGACAACACCCCCACUUUGAAUGUCUGCUCAGACUUGUCAGGGAUCCAAAAGUACUACGACACUAAAACAAUGAGCUGAGGAACUUGGAUUUGG